AAGAAAAUAAUAUUAGAAAAAGUAAUAGAUUACGAAACUGAAACUAUAAAUUACCUAGAACAGUUAUACGAAGAAAUUUACCCAGAAGGAUAUUAUUCAGAUUAAGAUAUGUUAGAAUAUAUUAGACAAACUAGAGAAAAUCAAGAAAAUCUAAAUAAUGAAAUUAAUUAUAGAAACCGAAUUAGACAAAUAAUGAAAGACCUAAAAGAAAAAUUAGUAUGGAUAGAAAAAACCUUAGAAAAUUUAGAUAAAAGUACAUGUGAUAGUUUAUAUAAUUUAAAAAAUUCACUACGAGAAGAACAACACAAAAUAAUAAAUAACAUUGAAAAUCUAGAAUUAGAUAUAUAUUAUAGCACAGAUAGGAUAAAUUAUUAUACAAGAAUUUGUAACUCUGUAAUUACUACAGGAUAAAAUAAUUAAUGAAUAUAUCUUACGACAAAAGUAAAUUAUUAAAAGAUAACAUCCACGCACUAAAUAAAAAUAGAUUCACUACAAAUAUGUACCAAAUCUAUUAUACAAAUCUAUUAUACCUAUUUAAUUAAAUCCGCGCACCCCCCUACAAAUAAGUAUGUUUGAUCGAUUCAAAGUUCAACUAAUUUUCUUGAAAAUGAACCAUACAUCUCCAUUUCCUUCCCAGCAUUACUUUCGGCAACUAGUCUUUUAUAA
rnacentral:lncRNA from 1 species